CUUAGUGUUCUGGAGCUGCCAGCCACUUCGUCAUCAAUCAUAUCUAUUUGUCUGAGCCUGAGCCCUUGAGAAUAAAUCUGAGACAUAAAUUGAGACAAUUAUUACUUACUGAGGCCUUAAUUGUAUUUCAAAUGUCUUGUAUUGGUGUUCAGUUAUGAAAGGUGGAUUGCUAUUCAUGUCUACAUCUAUAUAUACCUGGAAAUUAACUUAAUCCAACUGAAAAGAGAUUAUUUUGAUUUCUCAAAGAGGGAGCCAGUUCUGAUUGUUCUGGAAAUGUUCCAAUGACUUGCUCUUUUGCAGCACCUGAGAACAUACCAAUGAGUUAAGUAAAGAAAUGGACCCUAAAACAUGCACAUUAAUUGAUAAGAUAAUCACAAAAUUCAGUAUGAAGACAAUAAUAAUGAAAAGGGGUUAAUGCUCCCUCUUGCAUUGAUAACAUAGAAAUAUUUUUGUGAUAUUUACUACAUGCACUACAUUAUCAUGCAUUAUACAUACCACAUAUUGGUCUUUCUUCACCACGGAAAUCAUUUUCAUCUUAUGGUGACAAACAGGGCAUCUAAACUUCUUCUUUAGCAGGCGUUUCUUCUGCAGCCAUUUAAUGAGCCUCAGUGCCCUAUAUUUCAUUUGUUUUCCUUCUAUUGGGGUGCGCACUCAUUCCCAAGGACAUUCUGGUGGAAAAAAAUGAGUAAUUUAUUUCAUUAUCACCUCGAAACACCGUAAAAUAGUCUACGGGAAUCUAGUGCAACUCGGUUCAGAGUUAAAGAACUUCAUAUGCCAUAUAAAACAAGUCCUAUACCAAAAAUAGUCCCACACAAAAAAAGAGGAUUUUCUCAUCUGUUAUAAUGUAUCUCCGACUCUGUUAUGAAGAUCUACCCGCUGGAUAAAUAUCUCCUGCCCUGAUAGCAGCUGGGGGAGGACUAUCCUCCGCCCGUGAGCGCUUUGGCAGGGGCGAGGUCGUUAGUCGCUUUUUAGAAUUAAAGUCGCUAAGGGGGUCUGAAAACUCGCUAAAUAUAGCGACAAAGUCGCUAAGUUGGCAACACUGGCUGGAUUCAUGGUAAAAAAAAAUGUUCUGGCGCCAAAGGGUGGGAAAACAAACUUAAUUCAAACGCAGACGAGCUCAUAUAAACAUCACAGUUAAUCUUAUUAAGGAAAGUCCCUCCUAUCAGAGCACGACCACCAGUGGAAGGUCAAGGGGCACAAACAGACACAAGUCGCUCGUGGAAGUUACUGCGCCAUGGAUGGAGCAGAAGAUAAAACUUUGUGUGCCUCUGCGACCUACACAGUCAGCACACGUUCGAAGAGAUACAAAAAGCAGAGACCGGAUGGGCUAGAUUGCACUAAGCUAACGGCGUCAGCAGUUAAACAUGACGGUGAGUAACGUUGUAAUGCUAGCUACCUAGCUACCGAGCCAUUUGGCUGCUAGCUAUGGUGGCUAAUUAACAUCAGGUAACAUGUGAAUAGCUCUAAUACUAUUGAUUAUUUCAAACGUUUGAUAUCACUCUGUUGUAUAUUUUUAGUUUUUAUCUUUUGUUUAUGUGCAUCAAUAUAUUUAUAUUAAACACCCCAGUAAGGUAGUACACAUAAGGAUUAUUUGCCUUGUUUUAGAAAUGUCUAAACCACCAUAGGUGGAUAUAUCAAAACUUUUUUACAAAGUGGCUUUUUAUAAAUUCAAGUUGUAACAAUUUUUAAUCAAUAUUUUAUUUGAGUUUCCCAAGUUUAGAUUAGAAAUUAUUUUAGUAUUGUAAUUUAAUAAUUGUUUGUUUUAUAGAUUCUUCUUCUAAUCUUGCCCCUACUGCAACUGCACUUCUUAACAAGGAGCGAGAGGAACUGACUUUUCUUAAGGAGAAACUGGAGUGGCAAAAGAUGAGAAUUGAAGAACUGGAAGGAGAGAGAGAUUUCCUACGAAGGCAUCUAUCAUCCCUUACAAAGCAACCUAAAGACGAACCAUUCAAUGAUCCAUUUUCUUUGACUGCUUCUGAAAACUCAGAUUCAUCUUCCGCAUCUUCAUCUGUAUCGUCUGUGUGGUCAUCCUCAUCCCCAAAGAAGCGAAAGCACAAAUACAAGAAAAAGCAUUCAAGUGCCAAGAAACCCAAGAAGGAGCAGAAGAAGCUCCGGCAGCGUGUUCAAACGCCAAAUGACAUUGUGCAGCGAUACAAAUCCCUCCUCAAGACAUUUCCAAAGACGAAGACCAUGACCAAAGCUUUUCAGAAGCAUGGGCUCGACAGGAACACUGUUGUGUCCACUUCAUCAGUUGGGGAGCUUGCUAUUGCGGUCCCCACUGUUUACCAGGAGCUACUGUCCAACAGGCCUAGUGGAGAGACGGUACUAGCUUUUGCUAAGCGUUGUGAGGCUGCAAUUCAAGGCAGUGAUGAAGUAAAAAACAAAAUAGAAAGUAUGAAGGCCGCUGGUACUUUGCUUCCAAUUCGAAGAGGGAAAUCUGUCUGAAACCCUAAUUUGUUCUAAGUGGUUUUGUUUGUUUUGAGCAUAUUGAACUGAAGAAAAGAUGUGCAAAACCAACCGUUUUUCAAAGAUCUAUUCACGUAUGUGUUGAGUUUCCACACAACUAAGAGAUUUACCUUUUAGUUUAUUUUAUUGUUUUUUAUUGUUUUGAUUUGUAUAAAUGUGUGUAGAGUAAAUAAUACAGCUGUGCACUUUCAGUUAACCCUUUAUUGACCGUGGGCCCACCGGCGGGCCCAUUUUACAGGUAAAUUUGAAGGGCCGGUCAAUAAAGGGUUAAGGUAUAUUAAUUUAUUAUGUUAUAAUUAUUAUAAUUUUCCUUUGUUUUAUGCCAGUGGUGAAUUUAGGGAUGGGAUUUGUUUCCUUAAUAUAGUUUUAGCUAUCUUUAAAAGGCUUGUAUAUAAGUUUAGCAAUGUUA